rfam:Asian citrus Psyllid, Diaphorina citri - Florida Strain, whole genome shotgun sequence.
GACAGCAGCGAUAGAACGUUGAAUAGUCCAAUUUCCAAUGGUUCAUUAAAGUUAAGCAAGGUUGCGCGUGGUUAGUAUCCGAGUGGGUGAGCAUCUGGACAAUCGCGUGCUCACUUUUC